rnacentral:rRNA from 1 species
UGGGGAUUUUGGACAAUGGGCGAAAGCCUGAUUCAGCCAUGCCGCGUGCGGGAAGAAGGCCUUCGGGUUGUGAACCGCUUUAGUCUAGGAAAAAGGGGUGCGAGGAUAAUACCCUCGUGCUUUGAUGGUACUUGAAGAAUAAGCACCGGCUAACUACGUUCCAGCAGCCGCGGUAAUACGUAGGGGUCGAGCGUUAAUUGGAAUUACUGGGCGGAAAGCGUGCGCAGGCGGUCUUGUAAGACAGUCGUGAAAGCCCCGGGCUUAACCUGGGAACUGCGAUUGUGACUGCAAGGCUAGAGUGUGUAAGAGGGGGGUGGAAUUCCACGUGUAGCAGUGAAAUGCGUAGAGAUGUGGAGGAACACCGAUGGCGAAGGCAGCCCCCUGGGAUAACACUGACGCUCAUGCACGAAAGCGUGGGGAGCAAACA